GAAAAUAAGGAGUAGCUGGGCACUGAGGAGCACCAGCAGUACUAUCAGCACAUGGAAGUGAAGGCAGGAUUUGUGAGACCAGCCUGGCAAUACAGCAAACUACUAGAAGAAAAGAGGAAAGAAAAGAGAAGAGGAGGGGAGGGGAGGGGGAGGGGAGGGGAGGGGAGGGGAGGGGAGGGGAGGGGAGGGGAGGGGAGGGAAGGGAAGGGAAGGGAAGGGAAGGGAAGGGAAGGGAAGGGAAGGGCUUCUCUGUCUUUAGCAUUUACCUUAGAAAAUCUGCAGCUUGCUGUGUGCAGCCAACCCUAAUCCCAGCAGUCUGGAUGCAGAGGCAGGAGGAACUCUAUGGGUUGGAGGCCUGGUCCAAAGUGGUAUAAAGUGAGCUCUCGACAGCCAGGGUUACAUAGGGAGACCCUGCCUCCAAUUAAUUAAUGAAUAUACUAAAUCUGCAGCUGUGUGUAGUUCCUCUUUUCUUUGAAAUGUACACAAAUGUUGAGAGGACUGGACAGGUCUUUGAUCUAGGAAUGCCUUUCUCAGGGAGCCACCUCUUAGCAUUCCAGUUUCUGUGUAAGGUAAGAGACUUCCACAGCAUCUAAAGUGCAGAAUAACCUAUCAUAAAGAUAGGAGGAGGAUUCUGUUUAUUGCUCCAAACAAAGCCAACCAGGUAACACGGACAGUCAUACCCCAUUACCAGGCAAGUCCUCUUACUAUAGGAACAUAUACAUACCACAGGUUACACCUACAUGACCACGUAAAGUGUGAGAUUUCUUUGUCUUUGCAAUCUCUUAGCACUGUACCUGUGAUACAGCUCACAUGCUAGUUUAAUGCUUACUCAACUAAAAAGGAAAGGACUGUGGUUGUAGUUCAGUGGUCAAGCACUUACUUGCCUAGCAUUCAUCAUCUUAGGGCCAAUCCCCAUCAUGAGGGGCAAAGAGAAGUUUCUGUCUCCACUGCCUUUAAAAGUGUUCUGUAUUUGGAAGACCCUACUGUGGAUUCUAUUUUCCCUCAAAGGUGUGAGUAGAAUGGCAUGGAAUGUUGGGCCUACAGUUUUAGAAUGUAAAGGGAAGAUACCAAAAAGAACAAAUACAGAACUCAGAGAUGUGUAAAAAAAAAAAAAAAAAAAAACCAAAUGGCUCAGUGAUUCCGGAUCGAAUCCCCCCUGAACCUGUGAGUGUCCCCUUUCCAUGGCACAGGAGAAACUUCAGACUGACAUGGAGAAGGGCUUCUCCUGAUUACAAAACGCCAAAGCAAGGAGAAAGUCAGCAGCCCUCCCUCAGUCAGGACACUGAGCAGAAAAGCCAUCUGAGAAUCAACCCUGCAAGCUGUGGCAAACUAAGUCAAAAGGAAGCUACAAUAGCAGCACUGCUCCCAGCACAGCCUUUGCUACUCGAAACCUCUGGGAGACUCCUUACAUAGACACCGUUCUCUGGGAACUAAAAGCUAAGCUUAAA